rnacentral:rRNA from 1 species
AACGAACGCUGGCGGCAUGCCUAACACAUGCAAGUCGAACGAGACCUUCGGGUCUUUUGUCGCACGGGUUCGUCACGCGUGGGAAUCUGCCCUUGGGUUCGGCAUACCAUUUGGAAACGACUGCUAAUACCGGAUGAUGACGUAAGUCCAAAGAUUUAUCGCCCAGGGAUGAGCCCGCGUAGGAUUAGCUAGUUGGUGGGGUAAAGGCCUACCCAGGCGACGAUCCUUAGCUGGUCUGAGAGGAUGAUCAGCCACACUGGGACUGAGACACGGCCAAGACUCCUACGGGAGGCAGCAGUGGGGAAUAUUGGACAAGGGGCGAAAGCCUGAACCAGCAAUGGAGCGUGAGUGAUGAAGGCCUGAGGGUUGUAAAGCUGUUUUAACCGGGAUGAGAAUGAAAGUAACGGGAGAAUAAGCCCCGGCUAAAUCAGUG